rnacentral:rRNA from 1 species
CCUACGGGAGGCUGCAGUGGGGAAUAUUGGACAAUGGGGGCAACCCUGAUCCAGCCAUGCCGCGUGUGUGAAGAAGGCCCUCGGGUUGUAAAGCACUUUCAGUGAGGAAGAACGCCUGGUGGUUAAUACCCAUCAGGAAAGACAUCACUCACAGAAGAAGCACCGGCUAACUCCGUGCCAGCAGCCGCGGUAAUACGGAGGGUGCGAGCGUUAAUCGGAAUUACUGGGCGUAAAGCGCGCGUAGGUGGCUUGAUAAGCCGGUUGUGAAAGCCCCGGGCUCAACCUGGGAACGGCAUCCGGAACUGUCAAGCUAGAGUGCAGGAGAGGAAGGUAGAAUUCCCGGUGUAGCGGUGAAAUGCGUAGAGAUCGGGAGGAAUACCAGUGGCGAAGGCGGUCUUCUGGACUGACACUGACACUGAGGUGCGAAAGCGUGGGUAGCAAACAGGAUUAGAUACCCUGGUAGUC